GCAAGUCGAGGGACCGGCGCACGGGUGAGUAACACGUAUCCAACCUGCCCUUACUCGGGGAUAGCCUUUCGAAAGAAAGAUUAAUACCCGAUGUAAAGGAUGGGGAUGCGUUCCAUUAGGUUGUUGGUGAGGUCACGGCUCACCAAGCCUUCGAUGGAUAGGGGUUCUGAGAGGAAGGUCCCCCACAUUGGAACUGAGACACGGUCCAAACUCCUACGGGAGGCAGCAGUGAGGAAUAUUGGUCAAUGGGCGCUAGCCUGAACCAGCCAAGUAGCGUGAAGGAUGAAGGCUUAUGGGUCGUAAACUUCUUUUAUAUAAGAAUAUGUAUUAUAUGAAUAAGGAUCGGCUAACUCCGUGCCAGCAGCCGCGGUAAUACGGAGGAUCCGAGCGUUAUCCGGAUUUAUUGGGUUUAAAGGGAGCGUAGUGGACUGGUAAGUCAGUUGUGAAAGUUUGCGGCUCAACCGUAAAAUUGCAGUUGAUACUGUCAGUCUUGAGUACAGUAGAGGUGGGCGGAAUUCGUGGUGUAGCGGUGAAAUGC
rnacentral:rRNA from 1 species